rnacentral:rRNA from 1 species
GACGAACGCUGGCGGCGGGCUUAACACAUGCAAGUCGAACGGAAAGGCCCUGCUUUUGUGUGGUGCUCGAGUGGCGAACGGGUGAGUAACACGUUAGUAACCUGCCCUUUACUUUGGGAUAACUUCAGGAAACUGGGGCUAAUACCUGAUAGGAGCUCCUGCUGCAUGGUGGGGGUUGGAAAUUUUAGGCGGUUGGGGAUGGACUCGCGGCUUAUCAGCUUGUUGGUGGGGUAGUGGCUUACCAAGGCUUUGACGGGUAGCCGGCAUGAGAGGGUGACCGGCCACCUUGGGCCUGAGAGACGGCCCAGACUCCUACGGGAGGCAGCAGUGGGAAAUAUUGCACAAUGGGCGGAAGCCUGAUGAAGAAACGCCGCGUGCGGGAUGACGGCCUUCGGGUUGUAAACCGCAUUAGCCUGUAACGAAGCGUGAGUGACGGUAAUGGGUAAAGAAGCACCGGCUAACUACGUG